rnacentral:rRNA from 1 species
GCCCAGCACCGAAUCCCGCGUUCGAUAUCGGGCGCCGGGAAAUGUGGUGUUAGGGAGGAUCCGUUUAUCCCGAGGUCGUGCGGCGAGUCCAAGUCCUUCUUGAACGGGGCCACAGCCCAUAGAGGGUGCCAGGCCCGUAGCGGCCGCUGCCGAUCGCGGGAGGAUCUCUCCUUAGAGUCGGGUUGCUUGAGAGUGCAGCCCUAAGUGGGUGGUAAACUCCAUCUAAGGCUAAAUAUGACCACGAGACCGAUAGCGAACAAGUACCGUGAGGGAAAGUUGAAAAGCACUUUGAAGAGAGAGUUCAAGAGUACGUGAAACCGUUCAGGGGUAAACCUGAGAAACCCGAAAGGUCGAAAGGGGAAAUUCAUUCGCGUUUCGUUCGUCGGUGACGGGCGGGGUCGUGUGACGGGGACGCGCGUUCGCGUGCGUCUCCGCGCCCUCCGUUCGUCCGUACCGGCGUCGAACGCGUGCACUUUUCCCCUAGUAGGACGUCGCGAUCCGUUGGGUGUCGGAUUACGGUCCGCGGUGGAGCCCGCGCGCGGUCGUUUCGGCGGCAAGCGCGCGGACCCGCGGUGCUUCCCGUCCGGCUCGCUCGACGGUAUACAGAUGGCGCGGGGCCGCUAAAUUUCAAAUUAGCGUCCGACCCGCGGCAAGCGCGUUCGGUGUCUAAGACGGCGAUCGGACCCGGUGCCGAUUCCGUCCCCGGACGACUGUUGGCCGCGCGGAUCUCUCGGACAGA